AGUGGGUGAGGAACAAAAAAUGGCAGAAUGUGGGAGAAAAUAGUAAAAUAAUAAUGCCAAUAUUAUGAUAAAGAUUGGAGAAUGGUUUUGUGAAGGAAUUGGAAACAUGGAAGCCUUUAUGUUCAUUCGCUUCAAGUUUGGUGACCAUCCAACAUGACACCGCAGCUUAGCUAGUUUCUUCUUCUUAAUUAACUAAUACAUUUUUUCAUUUAUUUUUUCAGCAGUUCUGAUUUCACCAUGAAACACUACAAAUUGAAAACCAGACAAUAAUGGAUGAUGGAAUUACAUUAAUUAUAUACUUGAAAAAU
rnacentral:lncRNA from 1 species